UACGUAGGGCGCAAGCGUUGUCCGGAAUUAUUGGGCGUAAAGAGCUCGUAGGCGGUUGGUCGCGUCUGCCGUGAAAACCCAUGGCUUAACUGUGGGCUUGCGGUGGAUACGGGCCGACUUGAGGUAGGUAGGGGAGAAUGGAAUUCCCGGUGUAGCGGUGAAAUGCGCAGAUAUCGGGAGGAACACCGGUGGCGAAGGCGGUUCUCUGGGCCUUACCUGACGCUGAGGAGCGAAAGCGUGGGGAGCGAAC
rnacentral:rRNA from 1 species